GCUGCAGUGGUCCCCUACAUGGUCAGCUGCAGCAGGGUAGGGACCCUGUGGAAAACCCGUCCUGCUUUAAACCGAGGCCGAGGAAAGGACAGUGACAUGGGGGGCAGGGACAGUGUCACCUGAAGGGGCAGUGUCAGGAAAGUAUUCAAGUUUCUUAGGACAUGGAUAGAGAUCCAGACGGACUUGGGAGGGAAGGCCCACAUGCUGCCGUCGAGGUGGAAUAACUGCCUACUGUUGCUGGUUUUCAACCUGUCUCCAACAGGCAUGGCUAUCACUGGUGUCUCUGAGGACAGAACUAUGACUCAUUGCUUCCCUGACUCAUCGAAGACACCAACAAUGACUUCAGAACGAUGCAAAAUAACAGCAGCAAACCAGUUACUUUUUAAAAGAAACACGGUCAGAGAUUUGGCAUUUCCUAUCCUUCCAUCCUGUCAGGACCCUGCGCCUUUCACAAAAGACCUGCUGUGACUUUUCUUAGCAUCGACAUAAGACCUAUUACGCUUUCUUCCUGACUUCCAUGUGUGAAGUCAUGGCUACCCAGAAAUACUUCAAACUCAACGGCCACCAGCAUUGCCUUAAGGCACGGCUUUAAGGAUCCCUCCAUGGUGAGGAAAAGUAACUUCAAGAGAGAGAUUUUUAUUAGAAAGGAAGGUUUCUGGGGUAAAGCAAAUUGGGACCUGAGAAUUGCAAGUGACUUUGACGGCUGACCAUAGCUGAGGUGCGGAAUGGACUGUGCACCUGAUUUUAAAGCGGUGGGAUCGGUUUUUUUAACCACCUGCCUUCAUUUGUAAACUCGAAUGCUUAUGCUUGAAAAUAAAACAUUGCCACCAGCAAGCUGGCAACCUUGCUGGUCUUAAGGGUUAGCUGCUUUGGCUCUCCAAAAGCAAAACAAAAGAACUGGAUGUGGCAGCCUUCUUGGCAUCUCGGUUUCUUUACUGACCCCAAGGAGCCAGGGAGCUGCCCCUUAUUCUUCCAACACCUGCAGACAAUGAGCCUCUAAAAGAGACCUUAGCCGGCCCUGGAGAUGACUUUUCCUGGAGUCAUCUCCCAGGGUCCCUUUCAUCUGCGUCAUAUCACAGUUUACUUUAUACUCUGGUAAUGCAGAUUCCAGCCAGAGGCAAGUCUCUCUACUCUCCUGAUUAUUUGUUCUUAAGCAUGACUUUCUCCUUGUAGGUGUCCAGGAAACUGUUUCCUGUGGUGAUAAUCUAAUUGUAUUGAAAUAUUAUUUUGAUUU